rnacentral:rRNA from 1 species
UUCUAUAGCCAUGCCACCCUGACUGUGCCUGAUCUCAUCUGAUCUUGGAAGCUAAGCAGGAUCAGGCCUGGUUAGUACUUGGAUGGGAGACCACCUAGGAAUACCAGGUGCUGUAGGUG